GGCGACUCUCUGGUCUGUAACUGCACGCUGAGGCGCGAAAGCGUGGGGCAUUAGAACAGGGAUUAGAUACCCUGGUAGUCCACGCCGAACUCGAUAGGAGGGCUAAGUGUUAGAGGGUUUCCGCCCUUUAGUGCUGCAGCAAACGCAUUAAGCACUCCGCCUGGGGAGUACGGUCGCAAGACUGAAACUCAAAGGAAUUGACGGGGGCCCGCACAAGCGGUGGAGCAUGUGGUUUAAUUCGAAGCAACGCGAAGAACCUUACCAGGUCUUGACAUCCUCUGACAACCCUAGAGAUAGGGCUUCCCCUUCGGGGGCAGAGUGACAGGUGGUGCAUGGUUGUCGUCAGCUCGUGUCGUGAGAUGUUGGGUUAAGUCCCGCAACGAGCGCAACCCUUGAUCUUAGUUGCCAGCAUUCAGUUGGGCACUCUAAGGUGACUGCCGGUGACAAACCGGAGGAAGGUGGGGAUGACGUCAAAUCAUCAUGCCCCUUAUGACCUGGGCUACACACGUGCUACAAUGGGCAGAACAAAGGGCAGCGAAGCCGCGAGGCUAAGCCAAUCCCACAAAUCUGUUCUCAGUUC
rnacentral:rRNA from 1 species